UGCAAGUCGAACGCGCAGCGAAAGGUGCUUGCACCUUUCAAGCGAGUGGCGAACGGGUGAGUAACACGUGGAUAACCUGCCUCAAGGCUGGGGAUAACAUUUGGAAACAGAUGCUAAUACCGAAUAAAACUUAGUAUCGCAUGAUACAAAGUUGAAAGGCGCUACGGCGUCACCUAGAGAUGGGUCCGCGGUGCAUUAGUUAGUUGGUGGGGUAAAGGCCUACCAGGACAAUGAUGCAUAGCCGAGUUGAGAGACUGAUCGGCCACAUUGGGACUGAGACACGGCCCAAACUCCUACGGGAGGCUGCAGUAGGGAAUCUUCCACAAUGGGCGAAAGCCUGAUGGAGCAACGCCGCGUGUGUGAUGAAGGCUUUCGGGUCGUAAAGCACUGUUGUAUGGGAAGAACAGCUAGAAUAGGAAAUGAUUUUAGUUUGACGGUACCAUACCAGAAAGGGACGGCUAAAUAC
rnacentral:rRNA from 1 species